rnacentral:lncRNA from 1 species
GUAAGGACCAUACUAUUGGACAACCUAAGGCAGGCAUGGUCCCUAAGCCACAUGCUUGUUGUUUAAACAGAGAGGGGGAGAUGUUGAGAGCCACAGCCGAAGGGGCCCCAGCAAACUUUCAGACUGCCAGCUGAUGAUUGGCUCACAGCGGCCCCAGCAACUUCUAGCUGAUUGGCUCCUCUGCGGUGAUGCUCAUUGGGCUGUUUCCCCGCCCUUUCAGACUACGGAGCUGCUCAUUGGGGGACUUUUUUGGCUCCGCCCACGCGACCCAGCCAAUCGGCCUCAAGAGCAGGAGGAGUGGGG